rnacentral:rRNA from 1 species
GGGUGCGAUCAUACCAGCUCUAA